rnacentral:rRNA from 1 species
CCUACGGGAGGCAGCAGUGAGGAAUAUUGGUCAAUGGGAGAGAUCCUGAACCAGCCAAGCCGCGUGAAGGAAGAAGGCUUUCGGGUUGUAAACUUCUUUUGUCAGGGACGAAGCAAGUGACGGUACCUGACGAAUAAGCCACGGCUAACUACGGGCCAGCAGCCGCGGUAAUACGUAGGUGGCAAGCGUUAUCCGGAUUUAUUGGGUGUAAAGGGCGUGUAGGCGGGAAUGCAAGUCAGAUGUGAAAACUAUGGGCUCAACCCAUAGCCUGCAUUUGAAACUGUAUUUCUUGAGUGCUGGAGAGGCAAUCGGAAUUCCGUGUGUAGCGGUGAAAUGCGUAGAUAUACGGAGGAACACCAGUGGCGAAGGCGGAUUGCUGGACAGUAACUGACGCUGAGGCGCGAAAGCGUGGGGAGCAAACAGGAUUAGAUACCCUUGUAGUC